CCUACGGGAGGCAGCAGUGAGGAAUAUUGGGCAAUGGAGGCAACUCUGACCCAGCCAUGCCGCGUGAGUGAAGAAGGUUUUCGGAUUGUAAAGCUCUUUCGGAUGUGACGAUGAUGACGGUAGCAUCUAAAGAAGCCCCGGCUAACUUCGUGCCAGCAGCCGCGGUAAUACGUAGGGGGCAAGCGUUGUCCGGAUUUACUGGGCGGAAAGGGAGUGUAGGCGGUUUUGUAAGUUAGAUGUGAAAUCCCAGAGCUUAACUUUGGAAUUGCAAUUGAAACUGUUAGACUAGAGUUACAGAGAGGAUAGUGGAAUAACCGGUGUAGAGGUGAAAUUCGUAGAUAUUGGGUAGAACACCAGUGGCGAAGGCGACUAUCUGGCUGGACAUUGACGCUGAGGCUCGAAAGCAUGGGGAGCAAACAGGAUUAGAUACCCCAGUAGUC
rnacentral:rRNA from 1 species